CCUACGGGAGGCAGCAGUGGGGAAUAUUGGACAAUGGGCGAAAGCCUGAUCCAGCAAUGCCGCGUGUGUGAAGAAGGCCUUCGGGUUGUAAAGCACUUUAAGUUGGGAAGAAAAAGCUCUGGCUAAUAUCUAGAGCCUUGACGGUACCAACAGAAUAAGCACCGGCUAACUCUGUGCCAGCAGCCGCGGUAAUACAGAGGGUGCUAGCGUUAAUCGGAUUUACUGGGCGUAAAGCGUGCGUAGGCGGUUUGAUAAGUCGAUUGUGAAAGCCCCGGGCUUAACCGUGGGAAUUGCAGUUGAUACUGUCAGACUAGAAAACGGUAGAGGGAGGCGGAACUCCAGGUGUAGCGGUGAAAUGCGUAGAUAUCUGGAAGAACACCGAUGGCGAAGGCAACCUCCUGGGCCUGUUUUGACGCUGAGGCACGAAAGCGUGGGUAGCAAACAGGAUUAGAUACCCUGGUAGUCCACGCCGUAAACGAUGAGAACUUGACGUUGGUUUGCUUAGCAAAUCGUUGUCGUAGCUAACGCGAUAAGUUCUCCGCCUGGGGAAGUCGGCCGCAAGGUUGAAACUCAAAGGAUUGACCGGNGUGAGNGNGCGACGACGACGACGAGGAGGAGG
rnacentral:rRNA from 1 species